rnacentral:rRNA from 1 species
GACGAACGCUGGCGGCGUGCCUAAUACAUGCAAGUAGAACGCUGAAGGAGGAGCUUGCUUCUCCGGAUGAGUUGCGAACGGGUGAGUAACGCGUAGGUAACCUGCCUGGUAGCGGGGGAUAACUAUUGGAAACGAUAGCUAAUACCGCAUAAGAGUAGAUGUUGCAUGACAUUUGCUUAAAAGGUGCAAUUGCAUCACUACCAGAUGGACCUGCGUUGUAUUAGCUAGUUGGUGGGGUAACGGCUCACCAAGGCGACGAUACAUAGCCGACCUGAGAGGGUGAUCGGCCACACUGGGACUGAGACACGGCCCAGACUCCUACGGGAGGCAGCAGUAGGGAAUCUUCGGCAAUGGACGGAAGUCUGACCGAGCAACGCCGCGUGAGUGAAGAAGGUUUUCGGAUCGUAAAGCUCUGUUGUAAGAGGAGAACGAGUGUGAGAGUGGAAAGUUCACACUGUGACGGUAUCUUACCAGAAAGGGACGGCUAACUACGUGC